rnacentral:tRNA from 1 species
GUGGCGAAAUUGGUAGACGCACAUCCUAAAUACAUUCAGAUGGUGGAACUGAAUUACCUGGAUGUACCACUUGCAGGUUCGAAUCCUGUCCUGACCACCA